GCCACUUUGUUAGAGUUAAGGUCUGUCUCAAUCUCCUCCUACCUCUUGGAUGAGACUUUGUGGAAAUAUUUUAGUAUUAUCUUCUUUUGUGAUUGCAGAUUGAGAAGUUAAAAUAAUAAUUUAUAAUGUUGCCUGACAUAUAUGAUAGUUUGACAAUAACAUUGGCUCUGAACAUCUUGGAAUUGUGUGUGUUAAUAUGGCCCUCCUCUGCCAUGUAUUUUCAAGCAAUAUAUUUAGCUUUCCCCUAAGAGGAUCAUCUCAUAAGCUAAUAGCUUAACAAUAGCGUAUAGAUUUUUGGUGGCAAUGCUUUGAGGCUUCCUUCUGGAUGCUAACUUCAGAGGUGACAUCGAUUAAAUCUCAGCUUCUCCAGUACAGCAUAAACUAUCUCCUCGUGGUAUUUACACAAGCGGAAGAGGCAGUUCAACCGUUGGCCUCACUGAUUAUGUUGCUGCAUCUGGUUGCCGGCGAGGUGUGAGCGGCGGCCGCUGCAUUUUCGACAGAUUGGUCUUGAGGGAAUGAGUAGAAAAAAAAUCAUUUGAAGUAUUAUACCAAGAUGUGCUCUGAUGGAUGGACAUGGCAAAGAAAAAAGAUAGCCUACUGUUGGGAUCCUGUGCCACCUAUCGUCACCGAGCUCCUCUGCAUCCACCAUGUCCCUCCUCGUCGUGUGUGGUGGCCAAAAGGCCCGCUUUACUGGAAGCGAGACAGACAAAGAGGCCAAGCCGUAUGUGCCGUUGUCACCCACGUCGAGCACUGCCAUAGAGACAGACGAGGAGGGGCCAUCGUCGGCAUUCUUUCUCCUCAGUUUCCACAACAUGAGCCCCUCAAACGUCACUGAGCAAUGGAAGCAACAUCUGUUGAGAAGCUAGAGGACUUUUCACUUGAUAGCAUCCUUACAGGGAGUAUCAUACUUCUCAUACAUUGUAAUUUUCUUUAGAUAGAAAACAUUUAGAUACGUCUCAUACGCAACCAAUGUUCACGAAUUCAACCUCAUACUUUCUUAAUGGCCAUACUGUAGGCAGAUAUAGCUGAAACUUGAUGAGAAUCCACACGACCGAAAACUGUAGGUGUACCAAAGUUUGCAUGAGCAUGCUAGAUUAGUGGGAAUUCCAAGUGGCUUUCUAUGUGAAA